UACGUAGGGUGCAAGCGUUAAUCGGAAUUACUGGGCGUAAAGCGUGCGCAGGCGGUGAUGUAAGUCCGCUGUGAAAUCCCCGGGCUUAACCUGGGAACUGCAUUGGUGACUGCACCGCUAGAGUAUGGCAGAGGGGGGUGGAAUUCCACGUGUAGCAGUGAAAUGCGUAGAUAUCUGGAAGAACACCAAUGGCGAAGGCGAUGUUCUGGCUCGUUUCUGACGCUCAGGUGCGAAAGCCAGGGGAGCGAACAGG
rnacentral:rRNA from 1 species